UACGUAGGGUGCGAGCGUUGUCCGGAAUUACUGGGCGUAAAGAGCUCGUAGGUGGUUUGUCGCGUUGUUCGUGAAAACUCACAGCUCAACUGUGGGCGUGCGGGCGAUACGGGCAGACUGGAGUACUGCAGGGGAGACUGGAAUUCCUGGUGUAGCGGUGGAAUGCGCAGAUAUCAGGAGGAACACCAGUGGCGAAGGCGACUUACUGGACGAUUGUUGACGCUGAGGUGCGAAAGCGUGGGGAGCAAACAGG
rnacentral:rRNA from 1 species